UACGUAGGGCGCAAGCGUUGUCCGGAAUUAUUGGGCGUAAAGAGCUCGUAGGCGGCCUGUUACGUCUGCUGUGAAAUCCCGGGGCUUAACCCCGGGCGUGCAGUGGAUACGGGCAGGCUGGAGGCAGGCAGGGGAGAACGGAAUUCCCGGUGUAGCGGUGAAAUGCGCAGAUAUCGGGAGGAACACCGGUGGCGAAGGCAGCCUCCUGGGUCAAUAUUGACGCUCAGGCACGAAAGCGUGGGGAGCAAACAGGG
rnacentral:rRNA from 1 species